rnacentral:rRNA from 1 species
ACGGGUGAGUAACACGUAUCCACCUGCCGUCUACUCUUGGACAGCCUUCUGAAAGGAAGAUUAAUACAAGAUGGCAUCAUGAGUCCGCAUGUUCACAUGAUUAAAGGUAUUCCGGUAGACGAUGGGGAUGCGUUCCAUUAGAUAGUAGGCGGGGUAACGGCCCACCUAGUCUUCGAUGGAUAGGGGUUCUGAGAGGAAGGUCCCCCACAUUGGAACUGAGACACGGUCCAA